rnacentral:rRNA from 1 species
AGCGAGCGCUGGCGGCAUGCCUAACACAUGCAAGUCGAACGAGACCUUCGGGUCUAGUGGCGCACGGGUGCGUAACGCGUGGGAACCUGCCCUUAGGUUCGGAAUAACUCCCCGAAAGGGGUGCUAAUACCGGAUAAUGUCUUCGGACCAAAGAUUUAUCGCCUUUGGAUGGGCCCGCGUUGGAUUAGCUAGUUGGUAGGGUAAAAGCCUGCCAAGGCGACGAUCCAUAGCUGGUCUGAGAGGAUGAUCAGCCACACUGGGACUGAGACACGGCCCAGACUCCUACGGGAGGCAGCAGUGGGGAAUAUUGGACAAUGGGCGAAAGCCUGAUCCAGCAAUGCCGCGUGAGUGAUGAAGGCCUUAGGGUUGUAAAGCUCUUUUACCCGGGAUGAUAAUGACAGUACCGGGAGAAUAAGCUCCGGCUAACUCCGU